GAAGAUGCCACAUGAGGAUCAUCUGAAGGUUAUUGAAGAGAAGAAGACUUAGCUGUCAUCUCAGAAGUUCAAGAAAAGCUACAUAAGCUGCAGAGGGCCUAAUGGGAUCAGAGGUGACGUUUAAUAACACAAAUGGGAUAUGAAGUGAACACCAACCAUAAGGCACGGUGCCCACUGUGGCUUGGAGAUUGAAAAGGUAUCAAGUCCAUAUUUGUUUCAUAGGAGGAA